UUACUGGGCUUAAAGGGUGCGUAGGCUGCACGGAAAGUUGGGUGUGAAAGCCCUCAGCUCAACUGAGGAAUUGCAUCCAAAACUGCCGUGCUUGAGGGAGACAGAGGUGAGCGGAACUCAAGGUGGAGCGGUGAAAUGCGUUGAUAUCUUGAGGAACACCGGUGGCGAAAGCGGCUCACUGGGUCUCUUCUGACGCUGAGGCACGAAAGCUAAGGUAGCAAACGGGAUUAGAUACCCCGGUAGUCUUAGCUGUAAACGAUGAGCACUUGAUUGGAGGGUCCUCCAUAGCCUUCCAGUCGUAGCGAAAGUGUUAAGUGCUCCGCCUGGGGAGUAUGGUCGCAAGGCUGAAACUCAAAGAAAUUGACGGGGGCUCACACAAGCGGUGGAGGAUGUGGUUUAAUUCGAUGCAACGCGAAGAACCUUACCAGGGCUUGACAUCCUGCGAACCUCUGGGAAACCGGAGGGUGCCUUCGGGAACGCAGUGACAGGUGGUGCAUGGCU
rnacentral:rRNA from 1 species